UGAAGAUCUCUCCCUACACACCUCAGCAGUUGCAGAUCAAAUCUCUGGUUCAGCUAACCAAAGAGUUGAAAUUGAAAUGGAGAUUCUUUCUCUUGGUCAAAUGUUUGGGCCUUUGACAAACGGUUCCAUCGGUGAAAAAGAGAAUUCUUAUCAUGCUAAGGCUGAAUACACAGAAAAACAGCUUCUCUUAAAUGUUUCUGCUCAACUUAG
rnacentral:misc_RNA from 1 species